GGCAUCCACGCGGAAAGGACACUGCGAUGAUGCGCUCCGUGAUGUACGUCAGGUCCAGCUCGUAUCCCUCCUCCAUGCUGAAUGCUGGGCUCUCCUGUCACAAAAGGAACGAUACCGCCUGCAGGCUACAUCCCAACACUUUGAAGGGGGCCCGAGGGGGAGCCAUGGAGCGGGGAUGUUUCAGCCGAACGGAAUGAAAGGGGCCAUGUGUCUGAAGAGGUCAUUGCUCGGGGAAACAGAGCCGGGAGUUCGGGCCGUGGAGAGUUGCCGGAGGUUAUCCCAGCUGACUUCAGACAGAAGGAAGACUACACCCUGAACCGGUUGCCAGUCAGUCGCAGAGCACAACUACUCGAAGUAAUUUCAACCAUUCUGGUUGCCCUGUGGCACAGGUCACACAGGUCACAGGUGUGUUGGAGUCGGCAGGGGAUCCAAAAGAGGCACGAUAUGGCUCUCGAAGAACCGGCGUUCCCUACCCCUGUCAUAGUCAGUCAUGGCAUGUUCAUCUCAAGUUCACCAUUCACUAGAAGGUCAGUCAAAACACCUUUGUUUUUCCUUGUCAUGUGUAGAGUAUCUGGCUCACGUUGACAAAAUCAGUCGGCCUACUGAUGGUUGAAAUCACUUUUUGUGUACAUUCCAAUGGUACAAGAGUUUAAAUCAAAUAGCCUCUUAAAUAGCUGUGAUAC